rnacentral:tRNA from 1 species
UGUCCAGGGCUGGGAAUCGAACCCACAGUGUUCCGCUUACCGGGCAGAUGCCAUGUCCACUAGGCUACCCUAUC